rnacentral:rRNA from 1 species
UACGUAGGGGGCAAGCGUUGUCCGGAAUCAUUGGGCGUAAAGCGCGUGUAGGCGGCCCGGUAAGUCCGCUGUGAAAGUUGGGGGCUCAACCCUCGAAUGCCGGUGGAUACUGUCGGGCUAGAGUGCGGAAGAGGCGAGUGGAAUUCCUGGUGUAGCGGUGAAAUGCGCAGAUAUCAGGAGGAACACCAAUUGCGAAGGCAGCUCGCUGGGACGUGACUGACGCUGAGACGCGAAAGCGUGGGGAGCAAACAGG